UCCAUGGUAAGCAUAAUUGGUACUGCAUUCCGCUGUUAACGGAACUUCCGAAAGGUCUUGCUGGUUCGAGUCCAGCCCAUGGAGCCA
rnacentral:tRNA from 1 species